rnacentral:rRNA from 1 species
AUUGAACGCUGGCGGCAUGCCUUACACAUGCAAGUCGAACGGCAGCACGGGAGCAAUCCUGGUGGCGAGUGGCGAACGGGUGAGUAAUGUAUCGGAACGUACCUUUCAGUGGGGGAUAACGUAGCGAAAGUUACGCUAAUACCGCAUAUUCUGUGAGCAGGAAAGCAGGGGAUCGCAAAACCUUGCGCUGAUUGAGCGGCCGAUAUCAGAUUAGCUAGUUGGUGAGGUAAAGGCUCACCAAGGCGACGAUCUGUAGCGGGUCCGAGAGGAUGAUCCGCCACACUGGAACUGAGACACGGUCCAGACUCCUACGGGAGGCAGCAGUGGGGAAUUUUGGACAAUGGGCGCAAGCCUGAUCCAGCCAUGCCGCGUGAGUGAAGAAGGCCU